rfam:Pteropus alecto contig23537, whole genome shotgun sequence.
GUCUACGGCCCUUCUACCCUGAACGAGCCUGAUCCUGUCUGAUCUCGGAAGCUAAGCAGGGCCAGGCCUAGUUAGUACUUGGAUGGGAGACCACCUAGGAACACCAGGUGCUGUAGGUG